GCACUGAUGAAGAGUCCCAAAUUAGGACGAAACAGCUGUCCAGUAC
rnacentral:hammerhead_ribozyme from 1 species